rnacentral:rRNA from 1 species
GAUAAACGCUUGCGGUGUGCUUUAUGCAUGCAAGUCGCACGAUUAGAGCAAUCUUAUAGUGGCAAACGGGUGAGUAACACGUAAGUAACCUGCCCUGAAGUGGGGAAUAAUCCUUCGAAAGAAGGACUAAUACCGCAUGUGGUCCUUGACCGCAAGGUUAAGGACUAAAGCCGUAAGGCGCUACAGGAGGGGCUUGCGUCCGAUUAGCUAGUUGGUAGGGUAACGGCCUACCAAGGCAGUGAUCGGUAGCUGGUCUGAGAGGAUGACCAGCCACACUGGGACUGAGACACGGCCCAGACUCCUACGGGAGGCAGCAGCAAGGAAUAUUGCGCAAUGGGCGAAAGCCUGACGCAGCGGCACCGCGUGGGGGAUGGAGGACUUCGGUUUGUAAACCCCUUUUCUCAGGGAAGAAUAAUGACGGUACCUGAGGAAUAAGUCACUGCCAACUACGUGCCAGCCGCCGCUGUAAGAC